rnacentral:rRNA from 1 species
ACGGGUGAGUAACGCGUGGGAAUCUACCCAUCCCUACGGAAUAACGCAUGGAAACGUGUGCUAAUACCGUAUACGCCCUACGGGGGAAAGAUUUAUCGGGGAUGGAUGAGCCCGCGUUGGAUUAGCUAGUUGGUGGGGUAAAGGCCUACCAAGGCGACGAUCCAUAGCUGGUCUGAGAGGAUGACCAGCCACAUUGGGACUGAGACACGGCCCAAACUCCUACGGGAGGCAGCAGUGGGGAAUAUUGGACAAUGGGCGCAAGCCUGAUCCAGCCAUGCCGCGUGAGUGAUGAAGGCCUUAGGGUUGUAAAGCUCUUUCACCGGAGAAGAUAAUGACGGUAUCCGGAGAAGAAGCCCCGGCUAACUUCGUGCCAGCAGCCGCGGUAAUACGAAGGGGGCUAGCGUUGUUCGGAAUUACUGGGCGUAAAGCGCACGUAGGCGGACUUUUAAGUCAGGGGUGAAAUCCCGGGGCUCAACCUCGGAACUGCCUUUGAUACUGGAAGUCUGGAGUAUGGAAGAGGUGAGUGGAAUUCCGAGU